UACGGGGGGGGCAAGCGUUGUUCGGAAUUACUGGGCGUAAAGGGCUCGUAGGCGGCCAACUAAGUCAGACGUGAAAUCCCUCAGCUUAACUGGGGAACUGCGUCUGAUACUGGAUGGCUUGGAUUCGGGAGAGGAAUGCGGAAUUCCAGGUGUAGCGGUGAAAUGCGUAGAUAUCUGGAGGAACACCGGUGGCGAAGGCGGCGAGCUGGUCCAUUACUGACGCUGAGGCGCGACAGCGUGGGGAGCAGACAGG
rnacentral:rRNA from 1 species